rnacentral:lncRNA from 1 species
CCAAUAGACUUCUGUGAUAACUUUCCUGGACAGCAGUGGUGAAAGGAAGAAAGAAGAGCAGCCUGCCUCCUGGGAAAUAACACUCUAUCACUCCCACUGUUUAGAAUCACCGGCAUAAGGUGACUAUGCAGAGUAACUUUUAGUUGGUUUUAUUGUUGUUGUUAAACCCUCUAUAGACAAUGCUUCCCUUUAUUGCCAGCAUCUAGGGCCUAUUGCUCUCACUUUCCUGCUCUUGAUAAACCAUCACCAGACCUGCCCAGAUAAUCAGCUCAUAGCAGGAACUGCAUUAAUAAUUUCCCAGGAGGCUUCUCAGUGGCGAUGCAAAUAGUUUUACCAAGACUCAUCCACAAGUGAGCACACAUGCCCAGAUAUGCUUGUUAAGAAAAAUAAUCCAGAACUUGUACAAGAGAGUACACAUAGUCUUUCAAAGACAUACUGGGGUAUAGUUUAACAAGCCCAUCCAAAGACUAUUUAACUGUCUGUGGGAAUGUACCUUUUAUGGCUCUGCUCUUCUACUAUUAAUUAAAUACCCAGACUCCGUGAAGUUACAUGUUAACUUGCAGGUUUUGUCUAGCUGAGAUGCAAAUAAUUCAUGUCCAGUAGAAAAGAUAACCACUUUAAGGCAUAUACUUAGCAGUAUUAUUAUAACUUUCCUUCUUAAAUGCCUAUAAAUACCCAGUUCCUCAAAAUAUUCUUUUAAUCAAAUUUAUCAUCUUAGUGGGGUCAUAAUUAAUGAGUUAAUACAACUUUGACACCAGUCAAAAUGCACCAAUUUGCAAUAGAAGAAUGUGCUGCAGUCACAUCCCAAUUUUUAUAGUGUGUGGCUCAUGUCCACUAGAACUGCUCAAUGUUCUGAAGUUUGGUAGAUGAAGACACAGAUAUUUCUUCUGUUGAAGAUAUUUCUACUUCUUCUCUCCUUCUCACUCCAGCCCUUGUCAAUGCCUCUUCAGAUCAAUGUUUCCCGGUCAGGGCAGGAAAGAGCAACAGAAGAGGGAAAGGCUGUGGCAGGCAUCGGCUCCAGUUCCAGACAGGAAGUUGGCCCGGACACACACCAGCCACAUCUGUGCUGUGGUUCCUACAGCCUCCACCACCGACUGCAUCUCACUUCCCUCCAUAGGCCUGCCCUGGACUCAGAGCACCUAGAAGGCUGCCCUGCUUGGAAGCAGCCUUUGUGCAACCCAGGAUCUCUCUAGGCCAAGAAAACAAAAGCCUUUCCGGUACUGCUGAUGCGGUGCUUCAGGAGCAUCCUGUCUGCCUGGACUCAUUCAGAAGCCCUUCUUCUCUGUGUGGCUCAACUAUGGGACAUCUGAUGGUGGCUCGGCUCACAUGUAUGUUUGAUUUCCUCCGUGGAAGACGAAAAAGGAACCAGACCAAAUGCAAUUUUAAAAAGUAGUGUAACACUUCUGGCAUGGACCUGGAAAAUCUAGAAUCCAAUCUUAGCUCUGCUGCCACCUGACUGCGCACCUCUCGGCAAAUUACUUCGCUUCUCUGGGCCCAAGUUUGCUUAUCUUUAGAGUGGAGAGGUGGGGCGGUGCUAUAGGAUUCCUCUAGCUCUCACAUGUCAAGAUCCUUUUUAAACAUACAUUUUCGUUUUUUACAACAGAGGAAAAGAAGAUACAUCUAACACUUUUCUGUUCACCACAAAGUCUAAAGCAUCAGAACUCACCAAUAUUCCUUUGUAUCAAAUUUCUCUGUGUUGAUUGUCUAACCUGGUUUCAAUCCUCUUUCCCCCUCACAGGGGGAACAGCUAUUCUAAGUAUAGUGUUUAUUAUUCUUUGCAUUUCUUUAUACUUUCAUGAUAGACAUUUGUACUGGUAAGCAAUAUAUGGUACUGUCAUGCCUCUUUUAACUAGAGGUAUAUAGACCGUACUUUAGUCUAUGUAUAGAGUCUAUGUAUAUUCUUUUGCACAUGGGAUUUUUUUUGUUUGAAAUUAUGUACAUGAGAGUCUUAUAUGCUGGCAGAAUUUUAUUAAUUUUUCUGUGUUAUAAGAUAGCUUAUUAAGAAUAUGCUGAAUAUAUGUAUGGAUUAUCCAGCUUUCCUUUGAUUUGUUAUUAUAAACAUCAAUAUUUUGGUAUAUGUGGCUUUAUAUACAAAGCUAUAUUCUUAGGGGUAUAUACCUGGGAAUGGAAUUCUGGUCUCAAGGUGCAUGCAUGUCCAACUUUAGUAGACCACCUUUCCGAAUCAUUCUCUAAACUGGUUGUGUCCUUUACAGUCCCACCAGGAAGAUACUAGAGUACAAGAAUCUAGAAUGUCAGGUCCCGCUGUGUUCUCCUGAUAAGGCAAUGUGGUCCUCCCUUCAUGGGAGGUGAAUAUCUUGUUUGAUGUAUAGGGUGGCAGUGAUGGGAAAGGGGAAAGAAUGAAUAUGAUUAAUUGUUUCCACAAAUCUGUUUGAGUGUCUACUAUGUACCAGGCAUGAGGAAGUGCUGGGGAUCAAGAGACACCUGCCUUUGUGCAAAAGGUGCACAUAACUAAGAGUCAGAAUGGAUUAGAUCCCAGGCAUAACUGCAAAUGUCCUAUUGAUUCUCCUAUUUGACCCCUCCCCACCAACGUUGGUCCUUAAGCCAGUCUGCAUGCUAGACUCACAAUGGAAUCCAGUGAGGAUGGGAAAUGCAAAGCAGUGUACCUGCCUUUCAGAUUGAAAAGGCCUUAAAUCCCUGAGGAGGAAAUUGUUCUUUAAAGCUCUCCUAUCUGGAAAAACUUUUAAAUUCUUGGGAAGAGUUCUUAUGUCUACUCCCCUUUCUUUUUGUGUCUUUCAAGAGAAUUCAUGUUUGAUUAUGGAUGUCUGGGUUCUGGUCUCUGAGAAACAAUAGAUAUCCUAACACACAGAGAUACGAAACUAUGCAGGUGCUGAGUAAUAUUGAGUUCUGAAGAGCUGGAGUCUUGUGUGUUUUUCCCCCCCCAUAACAUCUUGAAAGUAUUUUCUCUGUGUCAACUACAAAUUCUAAUCCCAAAAGAAAGAUCUUGAUAUUUGGAAUAUACAAUGUGCCUUUUUUCUCACAGCAAGGUGUGCAAUUAAUUCCUUAUGUUCUCGAAUAAAAUGGUGGAGCAGAAAGUGUCUCCAGGAUCCCCAGAGCCUCCAGGCACACAAUAAACAUCUUUUCGUUUUCAGAAGUGAUCACUGCAUACCUCAGCCUGCAGGAGGAUGAGUAGCUAGGAUUUCUUUCAAUUUUUUUUCCCAAAGAGAGAGUAAAUGAAGUCAUCAAGCCAUCUGGUCGACUUUUAGCAAUCAUUCACUAUAUUCAUUUAUCAUAUC